GAUGAACGCUGGCGGCGUGCCUAAUACAUGCAAGUCGAACGAAACUUCUUUAUCACCGAGUGCUUGCACUCACCGAUAAAGAGUUGAGUGACGAACGGGUGAGUAACACGUGGGCAACCUGCCCAAAAGAGGGGGAUAACACCUGGACACAGGUGCUAAUACCGCAUAACCAUAGUUACCGCAUGGUAACUAUGUAAAAGGUGGCUGUACUACCGCUUUUGGAUGGGCCCGCGGGGCAUUAGCUAGUUGGUAGGGUAAAGGCUUACCAAGGCAAUGAUGCGUAGCCGAAUUGAGAGGUUGAUCGGCCACAUUGGGACUGAGACACGGCCCAAACUCCUACGGGAGGCAGCAGUAGGGAAUCUUCCACAAUGGGCGAAAGCCUGAUGGAGCAACGCCGCGUGGGUGAAGAAGGUCUUCGGAUCGUAAAACCCUGUUGUUAGAGAAGAAAGUGCGUGAGAGUAACUGUUCACGUUUCGACGGUAUCUAACCAGAAAGCCACGGCUAACUACGUG
rnacentral:rRNA from 1 species